CGGUGUCAAAUAGUGAAUUGCCUCGACUAAGGCCCUGUUUGGGAGGAAGGGGCUAAAGUUUAGCCCUGGGCUAAAAUUUAGCCCUCUCAAAUAGAGUGCUAAAUUUUAGCACUGUGGGGUGUUUGGAUAGGAGGUUAAACUUUAGCACUUUGAUUGCCAAAAGACUUUUUUACCCUCAUUCAUCUCCUCUCCUCUACCCCUCCACAACUCCUUCCUUGUCAGCUCCAAUCGAGCAAGCACGGCAGCUACCUCCUCGGCGUGGCCGUUCUCGCUCCUGAACUAUUUCAAGAUCCAUCUCCCAAAGGUAAAAUCAAAGGAGGCAAAGGCCACGUACUUCGAAUUUGAUGAACGUUGUGCUAACAUUUGCCAUGGUCUGACGUGUUUGCUUGAGCAGUUCUUCCCUGAGCUUGGGCGGGUGAUGCUCCUCGACGACGACGUCGUGGUGCGCAAGGACUUGACCGGGCUGUGGGAGCAGGACCUCGACGGGAACGUCAUCGGCCGGCGCGGAGGCCACGGGGGCGGGCGAGCGGAGGCGGUGGGGACGGGCAGGGCCGGGCGCGGAGGCGGCGGGCGAGCGGAGGUCGCGGGGGCAGGCGGGGCCGGCCGGAGGCGGCG
rnacentral:lncRNA from 1 species